GACGAACGCUGGCGGCGUGCUUAACACAUGCAAGUCGAACGAUGAACCCGGAGCUUGCUCCGGCGGAUUAGUGGCGAACGGGUGAGUAACACGUGAGUAACCUGCCCUUGACUCUGGGAUAACUGCUAGAAAUGGUAGCUAAUACCGGAUACGACCCUCGGUGGCAUCACCAGGGGGUGGAAAGAAUGUCAGUCAAGGAUGGACUCGCGGCAUAUCGGCUAGUUGGUGAGGUAACGGCUCACCAAGGCGACGACGGGUAGCCGGCCUGAGAGGGUGACCGGCCACACUGGGACUGAGACACGGCCCAGACUCCUACGGGAGGCAGCAGUGGGGAAUAUUGCACAAUGGGCGCAAGCCCGAUGCAGCAACGCCGCGUGAGGGAUGACGGCCUUCGGGUUGUAAACCUCUUUUAGUAGGGAAGAAGCGAAAGUGACGGUACCUGCAGAAAAAGCACCGGCUAACUACGUGCCAGCCGCCGCAGUAA
rnacentral:rRNA from 1 species